rnacentral:rRNA from 1 species
AGGUAGCGAAAUUCCUUGUCAGGUAAGUUCUGACCCGCACGAAUGGCGUAAUGAUCUGGGAGCUGUCUCAACUGCCCGCCCGGCGAAAUUGUAGUACCGGUGAAGAUGCCGGUUACCCGCGACUAGACGGAAAGACCCCAUGGAGCUUUACUGUAGCUUAAUAUUGGAUUUCGGCAUUUCAUGUACAGGAUAGGUGGGAGACUAGGAAACAUAGGCGUCAGCUUAUGCGGAGUCGUCCUUGGGAUACCACUCUUGGAGUGCUGAAAUUCUAACCUGCAGCCCUGAAUCGGGUUGGGGGACAUUGUUAGGUGGGCAGUUUGACUGGGGCGGUCGCCUCCAAAAAGGUAACGGAGGCGCUCAAAGGUUGGCUCAGCAUGGAUGGAAACCAUGCUAUAGAGUGCAAACGCAAAAGCCAGCCUGACUGCGAGACUGACGGGUCGAGCAGAAACGAAAGUUGGAGUUAGUGAUCCGGCGGUAUGUGAAUGGAAAUGCCGUCGCUCAACGGAUAAAAGCUACCCUGGGGAUAACAGGCUGAUCUCCCCCAAGCGUCCACAGCGACGGGGAGGUUUGGCACCUCGAUGUCGGCUCGUCGCAUCCUGGGGCUGUAUUCGGUCCCAAGGGUUUGGCUGUUCGCCAAUUAAAGCGGUACGCGAGCUGGGUUCAGAACGUCGUGAGACAGUUCGGUCCCUAUCUGUCGUGGGCGAAGGAUAUUUGAAAGGAGCUGUCCCUAGUACGAGAGGACCGGGAUGGACGCACCUCUGGUGCACCAGUUGUCACGCCAGUGGCACAGCUGGGCAGCUAAGUGCGGAUCGGAUAAACGCUGAAAGCAUCUAAGCGUGAAGCCGUCCUUAAGAUAAGAUAUCCCACUUUUAAGUUAAGACCCCUUGUAGACUACGAGGUUGAUAGGUCUAAGGUGUAAGUUGUGUGAGCAAUUUAGCCAGCAGAUACUAAUCGGUCGAGGGCUUAAACCU